GCCGGGGUGGCGGAAUUGGCAGACGCACAUGGUUGAGGGCCAUGCGGGAGCUAAUCCCGUGCGGGUUCAAAUCCCGCCCCCGGCA
rnacentral:tRNA from 1 species